rnacentral:rRNA from 1 species
UACGAAGGGGGCUAGCGUUGUUCGGAAUUACUGGGCGUAAAGCGCACGUAGGCGGACAUUUAAGUCAGGGGUGAAAUCCCAGAGCUCAACUCUGGAACUGCCUUUGAUACUGGUAGUCUCGAGUCCGGAAGAGGUGAGUGGAAUUCCGAGUGUAGAGGUGAAAUUCGUAGAUAUUCGGAGGAACACCAGUGGCGAAGGCGGCUCACUGGUCCGGUACUGACGCUGAGGUGCGAAAGCGUGGGGAGCAAACAGG